UACGUAGGGGGCAAGCGUUGUCCGGAAUCAUUGGGCGUAAAGCGCGCGUAGGCGGCCCGGUAAGUCAGCUCUGAAAGUCCAGGGCUCAACCCUGGAAAGCGGGUGGAUACUGCCGGGCUAGAAUCCGGAAGAGGCGAGUGGAAUUCCUGGUGUAGCGGUGGAAUGCGUAGAGAUCCGGAAGAACACCGGUGGCGAAGGCGGCCUGCUGGGCAGUUGCUGACACUGAGGCGCGACAGCGUGGGGAGCAAACAGG
rnacentral:rRNA from 1 species